GAUGAAGAACGCAGCGAAAUGCGAUACGUAAUGUGAAUUGCAGAAUUCAGUGAAUCAUCGAAUCUUUGAACGCAUAUUGCGCUCUUUGGUAUUCCGAAGAGCAUGCUUGUUUGAGUAUCAGUAAACACCUCAACCUCUUCUUGAUUUUUCAAAAGGAGGGUGGACUUGAGCUAUCCCAACAACCUUUACCGGUCGGCGGGCGGCUUGAAAUGCAGGUGCAGCUGGACUUUUAUCUGAGCUAAAAGCAUAUCUAUUUAGUCCUCGUCAAACAGGAUUAUUACCUUUGCUGCAGCUAACAUAAAGGAUAAUUGUCCUCUUUGCUGACUGAUGCAGGAUUUUACGACACUUUAUGUGUUGUUCAACUCGAUCUCAAAUCAAGCAAGACUACCCGCUGAACUUAAGCAUAUCAAUAAGCGGAGGA
rnacentral:misc_RNA from 1 species